rnacentral:rRNA from 1 species
UACGAAGGGGGCUAGCGUUGCUCGGAAUCACGGGGCGUAAAGGGUGCGUAGGCGGGGCUUUAAGGGAGGGGGGAAAUCCUGGAGCUCAACUCCAGAACUGCCUUUGAUACUGAGGAUCUUGAGUUCGGGAGAGGUGAGUGGAACUGCGAGUGUAGAGGUGAAAUUCGUAGAUAUUCGCAAGAACACCAGUGGCGAAGGCGGCUCACUGGCCCGAUACUGACGCUGAGGCACGAAAGCGUGGGGAGCAAACAGG